GACGAACGCUGGCGGCGUGCUUAACACAUGCAAGUCGAACGGAAAGGCCCUGCUUUUGUGGGGUGCUCGAGUGGCGAACGGGUGAGUAGCACGUGAGUAACCUGCCCUUGACUUUGGGAUAACUUCAGGAAACUGGGGCUAAUACCGGAUAGGAGCUCCUGCUGCAUGGUGGGGGUUGGAAAGUUUCGGCGGUUGGGGAUGGACUCGCGGCUUAUCAGCUUGUUGGUGGGGUAGUGGCUUACCAGGGCUUUGACGGGUAGCCGGCCUGAGAGGGUGACCGGCCACAUUGGGACUGAGAUACGGCCCAGACUCCUACGGGAGGCAGCAGUGGGGAAUAUUGCACAAUGGGCGGAAGCCUGAUGCAGCAACGCCGCGUGCGGGAUGACGGCCUUCGGGUUGUAAACCGCUUUCGCCUGUGACGAAGCGUGAGUGACGGUAAUGGGUAAAGAAGCACCGGCUAACUACGUGCCAGCAGCCGCGGUGAUACGUAGGGUGCGAGCGUUGUCCGGAUUUAUUGGGCGUAAAGGGCUCGUAGGUGGUUGAUCGCGUCGGAAGUGUAAUCUUGGGGCUUAACCCUGAGCGUGCUUUCGAUACGGGUUGACUUGAGGAAGGUAGGGGAGAAUGGAAUUCCUGGUGGAGCGGUGGAAUGCGCAGAUAUCAGGAGGAACACCAGUGGCGAAGGCGGUUCUCUGGGCCUUUCCUGACGCUGAGGAGCGAAAGCGUGGGGAGCGAACAGGCUUAGAUACCCUGGUAGUCCACGCUGUAAACGGUGGGUACUAGGUGUGGGGUCCAUUCCACGGGUUCCGUGCCGUAGCUAACGCUUUAAGUACCCCGCCUGGGGAGUACGGCCGCAAGGCUAAAACUCAAAGGAAUUGACGGGGCCCCGCACAAGCGGCGGAGCAUGCGGAUUAAUUCGAUGCAACGCGUAGAACCUUACCUGGGUUUGACAUGGAUCGGGAGCGCUCAGAGAUGGGUGUGCCUCUUUUGGGGUCGGUUCACAGGUGGUGCAUGGCUGUCGUCAGCUCGUGUCGUGAGAUGUUGGGUUAAGUCCCGCAACGAGCGCAACCCUUGUUCACUGUUGCCAGCACGUUAUGGUGGGGACUCAGUGGAGACCGCCGGGGUCAACUCGGAGGAAGGUGGGGAUGACGUCAAGUCAUCAUGCCCCUUAUGUCCAGGGCUUCACGCAUGCUACAAUGGCUGGUACAGAGAGUGGCGAGCCUGUGAGGGUGAGCGAAUCUCGGAAAGCCGGUCUCAGUUCGGAUUGGGGUCUGCAACUCGACCUCAUGAAGUCGGAGUCGCUAGUAAUCGCAGAUCAGCAACGCUGCGGUGAAUACGUUCCCGGG
rnacentral:rRNA from 1 species